CUGACACUGCUUCUACAUGAGUGCACUAAAUGAUACUUGCAUCGUGUCUAUCACUGAGGCUGAAAAACUCUAUGCUACUUCUUGCUGGUAUAAACCUGAGAUCUGACCUUCCAUCUUUGAGAUGCUGUUUUGGUCUUAUACCACUGAAGUCGAUGGGAGCUUUGCCACCAGAUUCAGUGAUGAAGGAAGAUAUUAAGAGGAGAAUUGGCCCAUUAUUAUGGUUCCUUGCUAAUGGAGUCCCAUGCUAUGGAAUAUAUAAGAGCAUUCACGGAUGAUAAUUUGUGUGAGAGCCUCAGGCUGGCACCAGAGCAAAAGAUGGAAUCAAACUGAGCCCCCUGGUGCAAAUACUCUAGGACCUCAAGGAAAUACACAACUGCUUACUGGGCACGUGGUUUGACAGCUAGCUCCUGCUAUCAGAUGUGGAUAUAUAGGCAAUAUUAGGUAUUCUGUUUAACACUGUACACUUACAUUCAUUACCACUCAGAAUAAUAA
rnacentral:lncRNA from 1 species